AUGCUCAUUUAGGCAGUACAUAUACUAAAAUUGGAACAAUACAGAGAAGAUCAGCAUGGCCCCUAACUAAGAAUGGCAUGCAAAUUUGUGAAGUGCACUAUAUUUUU